GAGGGUAUAGCUCGGUGUUAGAGCACAUGCUUAGUAUGCACAAGGUCCUGGGUUCAAUUCCCAGUACCUCCA
rnacentral:tRNA from 1 species